rnacentral:rRNA from 1 species
AGAUUGAACGCUGGCGGCAUGCCUAACACAUGCAAGUCGAACGGGAGUAGCAAUACUCUAGUGGCGGACGGGUGAGGAAUACGUAGGAAUUUGCCCUUAAGUGGGGGAUAACCCGGGGAAACCCGGAUUAAUACCGCAUGACCUCGAAAGAGCAAAGUGGGGGAUCGCAAGACCUCACGCUUUUGGAGAAGCCUACGUCGGAUUAGCUAGUUGGUGAGUAAUGGCUCACCAAGGCGACGAUCCGUAACUGGUCUGAGAGGAUGAUCAGUCACACCGGAACUGACGACACGGUCCGACGUCCCGUACGGGAGGCAGGCAGGUGGGGGUAAUGUUAGGACAAGUGGGCG